rnacentral:rRNA from 1 species
UACGGAGGGUGCAAGCGUUAUCCGGAUUCACUGGGUUUAAAGGGUGCGUAGGCGGGCAGGUAAGUCAGUGGUGAAAUCUUCGAGCUUAACUCGGAAACUGCCGUUGAUACUAUCUGUCUUGAAUACUCGGGAGGUGAGCGGAAUAUGUCAUGUAGCGGUGAAAUGCUUAGGUAUGACAUAGAACACCAAUUGCGAAGGCAGCUCACUACAGAGUCAUUGACGCUGAGGCACGAAAGCGUGGGGAUCAAACAGG